rnacentral:rRNA from 1 species
ACAGGGAUUGCCCUAGUAACGGCGAGUGAAGCGGCAACAGCUCAAAUUUGAAAUCUGGCGUCUUUGGCGUCCGAGUUGUAAUUUGCAGAGGGCGCUUUGGCAUCGGCAGCGGUCCAAGUUCCUUGGAACAGGACGUCACAGAGGGUGAGAAUCCCGUACGUGAUCGCUAGCCUUUACCGUGUAAAGCCCCUUCGACGAGUCGAGUUGUUUGGGAAUGCAGCUCUAAAUGGGAGGUAAAUUUCUUCUAAAGCUAAAUACUGGCCAGAGACCGAUAGCGCACAAGUAGAGUGAUCGAAAGAUGAAAAGCACUUUGGAAAGAGAGUUAAAAAGCACGUGAAAUUGUUGAAAGGGAAGCGCUUGCAGCCAGACUUGCCUGUAGUUGCUCAUCCGGGUUUUUAUCCGGUGCACUCUUCUAUAGGCAGGCCAGCAUCAGUUUGGGCGGUUGGAUAAAGGUCUCUGUCAUGUACCUCUCUUCGGGGAGAACUUAUAGGGGAGACGACAUGCAACCAGCCUGGACUGAGGUCCGCGCAUCUGCUAGGAUGCUGGCGUAAUGGCUGUAAGCGGCCCGUCUUGAAACACGGACCAAGGAGUCUAACAUCUAUGCGAGUGUUUGGGUGUCAAGCCCGAACGCGUAAUGAAAGUGAACGGAGGUGGGAACCUUUCGGGGUGCACCAUCGACCGAUCCUGAUGUCUUCGGAUGGAUUUGAGUAAGAGCAUAGCUGUUGGGACCCGAAAGAUGGUGAACUAUGCUUGAAUAGGGUGAAGCCAGAGGAAACUCUGGUGGAGGCUCGCAGCGGUUCUGACGUGCAAAUCGAUCGUCAAAUUUGGGCAUAGGGGCGAAAGACUAAUCGAACUAUCUAGUAGCUGGUUCCUGCCGAAGUUUCCCUCAGGAUAGCAGUAACGUUUUCAGUUUUAUGAGGUAAAGCGAAUGAUUAGAGGCCUGGGGGUUGAAACAACCUU